AAGAUGUUAACUUAAGUUUUAAAGUGCCAAACUUUUAAUUUGGAAAUGG
rnacentral:tRNA from 1 species